AUUGAACGCUGGCGGCAGGCUUAACACACGCAAGUCGGGCGGGGGAAGGUAGCUUGCUACCGGACCUAGCGGCGGACGGGUGAGUAAUGCUUAGGAAUCUGCCUAUUAGUGGGGGACAACAUCACGAAAGGGAUGCUAAUACCGCAUACGUCCUACGGGAGAAAGCAGGGGAUCUUCGGACCUUGCGCUAAUAGAUGAGCCUAAGUCGGAUUAGCUAGUUGGUGGGGUAAAGGCCUACCAAGGCGACGAUCUGUAGCGGGUCUGAGAGGAUGGUCCGCAACGCUGGGACUGGGACACGGCCCAGACUCCGACGGGAGGCAGCAGUGGGGAAUAUUGGACAAUGGGGGGAACCCUGAUCCAGCCAUGCCGCGUGUGUGAAGAAGGCCCUAUGGUUGUAAAGCACUUUAAGCGAGGAGGAGGCUACUCUAGUUAAUACCUAGGGAUAGUGGACGUUACUCGCAGAAUAAGCACCGGCUAACUCUGUGCCAGCCGCCGCGGUAA
rnacentral:rRNA from 1 species